UACGGGAGGCAGCAGUGGGGAAUAUUGCACAAUGGGCGCAAGCCUGAUGCAGCCAUGCCGCGUGUAUGAAAAAGGCCUUCGGGUUGUAAAGUACUUUCAGUCGUGAGGAAGGUGUUAAGGUUAAUAACCUUAGCAAUUGACGUUAGCGACAGAAGAAGCACCGGCUAACUCCGUGCCAGCAGCCGCGGUAAUACGGAGGGUGCGAGCGUUAAUCGGAAUUACUGGGCGUAAAGGGCACGCAGGCGGUUAAUUAAGUUGGAUGUGAAAUCCCCGGGCUUAACCUGGGAAUGGCAUUCAAGACUGGUUAGCUAGAGUCUUGUAGAGGGGGUAGAAUUCCAUGUGUAGCGGUGAAAUGCGUAGAGAUGUGGAGGAAUACCGGUGGCGAAGGCGGCCCCGUGGACAAAGACUGACGCUCAUGUGCGAAAGCGUGGGGAGCAAACAGGAUUAGAUACC
rnacentral:rRNA from 1 species